GAGCGGUCGCGAACGAACGUCUGGCGGCAUUGUGACGUAUUGCGCUCUGAUUCUCGAACCGGUUUCGUUGGAAGUGAUUACACGUUAUCCAGUUAAUAAUACUAGUGCAGUGUUUUGUACAAACUCUUAAAAGCUUUUAGCCGUGAACUAGUGCUUAUAAGACAAAUUUAAGCCAAUAAUGUGUUUUACAUAUUUUUUUUAUUGUGAAGUGAAGUUUUAAAAAAGUUUUGUGAUUUCCUUUCUAAGUGAUAUAAACUAACUCAAUUGUCAUUUAUAGGAUAUAUUGAUUAUAUUGACUUAUUUGCAGUUAGUAUAUAAUUUAUUAUUAUAUUUUAAAGUGUAUUUAUAAACUUACUAAAGUGAAUAUUUAUAAAAAAUAAUUCUACAGGCAAGUAAGAUUACAAAAGAAAAAGUUGAUCGUUUGAGGCUUAACAUGUCAUAAGGAACUAUAUGGUUAAAAGACGAUGAGCCAUGGAAUCUCGGAGUGCGCCGCCGAGCCCCGAAGACUCUGGGGAGGCGGUGUUCAAUACACACUGUGGACGAUAUCCUCAUCAACCAGUAUUGCAAAGAACAUUCGCAAGUUGUCGCGAAGCAGGCCGACCGCGACCUCAUCACCGACAUGCCGUUUCAGAACCUGGAAGACCAGACGAUCGAGUACUUACAACAGCCGAAGUUCACGACUAUCCUUCCUCCGAGUCCGGCAUUGCUGCCGAUUGUCCUCAUCCUCAUUCAAGUAAUGCAGACGACAGUCCAUGUUACGACCGUUCAGAUUUUGAGGGCAAUUCUAGUUACAGCUUAAGACAUAAUUACCACCAUACAAUCGACUGCAGUAAACAUAGAUCUGAUUUCAGUCGUAGCCAUACCCCAGAUUAUAAUAAUGAUCACGAUUCAGAUUGUGAUCGCGGGCAUUCCCGUUCUCAAACAACACGACGACCACAUCGUAGGCAUAGGCGAGAAGAUGGUGAUGGCGCCCAAUCGCUUGAUGAACGCUGUGCUCGAGACCUUGAUGAAAUUUUGCCAGCAAGACUUGCAGCAGUGAACCUGUCGAGAGAGCAACCAUCACAAUCAUGGAAUAGGAGCAAUAUUGCCGCUACCAUGGAACGUUUUGAGCCGGUGGAUUAUUCCUAUGCCUAUUACGACCAUCAUUUAUCCAUGCCUUCUUCCUCUAGAAAGGCUAAUCGACAAAGGGGACGUGGUGGUUUACCCCGUGAUAGAUCUGCCCGUCAUAAUUUUGUAACAAGGUAUGGCACUGAAGAAAAUAUUUACGAAGAAAUAACAGACGGUUCCAGAACUUGCCCUAAGCAUCGAUAUGUACCUCGACAGUCACUGGUUUCACUAGAUAGAAGCGUUGUUGAAGAAGAAGUGCGCAGAGUAGAGUCAAGGCAUAAAAGAAUCUUAGGGGAAUUAAAUUUAAGUGUUGAAGCAAUGCUUAUGCCUGAAUGUGAAUCGCCUGAUUCUGAGCGCGCAGAAGAUAGAGAUAAUAUAGAAGAAUUGUUGAGAGUUGGGCCAACAGAUGAAUUAUUAUCGCCGGCUAGUUGCAAUCCCCCUGAUUUAGACAGUGGAUUUAGUGGGAGCAGUAGUGGUGCCAGUUACGUAGGAAGUUUACGUCGAAAACCUACAGGAUCUGUGCCACAUUUACCUGCAGUAGCGUAUGGUACUCGUGGAGUUGGAGUUCGUAUUUUAGGAGCCGAAGACUGCAACUUACGAUGCCCUAAAGAUGUUAAUUCUCCACGUAGUUCUAGCUGUGGCGAUGCAAAAACCAGUGGUUUUUGGAAUAAAAAAGCAUGGAAGAAAAUAUCAGGGUUUUCGAGUUCGAACAGUAUAAAUAAAGCUGGUUUAACUGGUCUGCUCGUUAGGUACACUUUCCGGCGUAAGUCCGGCUCGCAGGGCUCUCAGGGCAAGCGGCGUACCGAGCCCGUCAAAUGCGAUGCGUGCCUCUCACAACGAUGUUAACCGCCUUUAUGAUGAAGCUUGUAGGCCAAGCAGAGCUAAAUCAAGAACAGCAACUAUACCCUACAGCUACUCCAACGGAAAACUUGUGGUGCCGCUGGAUUCCCUAGCACAAAGCUGAAGGGAGCGCUCUUUCAAUUUCAGUCUCCAUCGUCUUCGAAAAUCUACUCCAUACUAAUGGGCGGAGAUCGUUUAACUUCGUAUAAAAUAUGCACUGGACAAAAGUGUCACAUCAUUACGUAUUUUCUAUUAGUAAGAGAGCAAAAAAUUGCUUGCACUUAGUAGUUAUAUGACUAUUCUCUAACUUUUUAGUAGUAAGUGACUUGCAUUCGGAUUUUUUAAUUUUUACUGUUAUUGGAACAUGUUUUGUGUGGGAUGUUCACUGUUUAGUCGACUGUUUUUUCUUGUUAGUAACAUUCCAUUUGACUUUGUAUCUUGGGAUGCCGCUUUGGCUCUGCGUCUUUCAAUGCGUCUAUGAGACAAACUUAUUGGGACGAAAUCACUUGUAAAAAGAGUGUAAAUAUAAUAGAUAUGUUUAUAAUUUAGAAUGUUGGAGAUGAGUAUACGCCGACGAGAUAGAAGAGCCUAAUUGAUAUUAUGUAUUAAGACAACAGUUUCAUAGAAACAUAAUGGAUAUGUUGUUGUUAUUUAUCAAGAUUUUGUAGAAAUUAGGAAUUAAAAAGUCUGACCCCAAAACAUUAAAAUUGCAGUAUAUUUGCUAUAUGAUUUUAUAUUGUUUAAAGCUUAAAUUGUAAAUUAAGUUACAGUGAGGUAUAGCGAAAUUUCAAAGUUAUAAAUAAAGCAUACGAACUUGUCACUUUCAUGAUUGUAUUUUUUUUUUCACGAAUUGGCGUUACUUUUAGAAUAUGUGUUAUUGUUAGUUAUUAUACCUGUAAAUGUUGUAAAUAAGAUAAACAUGGUGCACUCAUUUUAUCGUAUAAACCUGUAAAUAGUUAUAACGCAAUUGUUUUAGAUUAUAUUUAUAUGCGAUUUAUUUAACAAUUGUGUAUUGAGAAUAAUCUGCCCAAACUGCCGGCCUUUGAUAUAAAUUUUUAAUGGCAUAUUGUUUGAUUUUAUUAAUUACAAUUAUUAUUUACAGAGUGAAAAAACGAAUUGGAUCUUAUGUUCUGAUAUUCUUUUAUUGCUUCUAUUACAAAAAAUAAAUAAAUAAGAGGAAUAAUUUAAAUUAAUGUCAUAUAAUAUGUAUGUCCACUAUAAGUCUAUUAAUUUAUUUAAAGCUUUUGAUGUGCUUAUAGCAGUGUCAAAUGGGUAUUAAAUAUAACUGGGGGUCUCACAUUCGCUCAGACAUAUUUGUUUUUAAAUCUCAUUAACCUAUUUGGUUGAUAAAUAGCUUUAAUCAUGAAAUUAUUCAUUAAUUUUCAAGAGUAAUUAUUUGAAAUAAUAUUUUACUAAAUAUCACAAUAUGUUUAACUGAAUCUUUCUUAUGUAUAUUCUUUUUAUUUAUUAAUUUAUAUAAAGUUUUUUUUAAUUUGCGAAUUGUCAUAUCCCUUUAAAUAAAUGGAUGUUACGUAAUUAGUUAGCCAGCGAGAAUAUAAUUUGAUAAUUGCUGUAAGCUAAUCGACUGAUACGAAGUAAAUACUCAAUGUUACACAAUUUCUGUCUGUAAUUUAGUGAUCGUGUUCGAGUAAAAAGAGAUUUUAUUAAAUAAACUAUAAAAAUUC